rnacentral:misc_RNA from 1 species
GAAGGAUGAAGAAAUUUAUCAGCUGUUCUCUGGUAUGAAAGAAUUUGGAUCGAGCAUUGAGGCUGUUCGGGUGAUCAGAGAUCCCAAUACUCUCCUAGGAAAAGGAAUUGCGUAUGUUUUGUUCAAAACGAGGGAGGCUGCGAACACUAUUUCUAGAAAGCGUAACUUGAAAUUACGAGAUCGCGAGCUGAGAGUGUCUCAUUCUAAAGCAGAUUCUACUCCAUCUAAGAGGAAAAGUUUAUCAACCGAAGACAGAUUUAGGUCCCCAGCAAAGAAGUUUGCAGCAGAUUCAGCUAGACCAGGCAGUAGUAGCUAUAAGGCUACAGCAAAGUCUGACAUGUCCUAUCAGGGCGUGAAGGCAAGCAAAUCUGGUGUCCAGAAAAAAACUCAAUCCAGGAUGAGCGACCGGGGAAAGUUGAAACCUAAAGCACAGUUAUCGACAAAGCCAAAAGAGCGCAUAGGAAAGAGACCAUCUGUUGCUGCCCGAAAAGCAAAAGAACUCAAGGCUGCUGCCUCUGGCUUGAAACAAAUGGGAACAAAACGGAAGAUGGACAACCGAACACCUGACACUGCAGGCAGAAAGAAGAAAUUUAGAAAAUCUUAGGUCAUACAUUCUCAACAAUGUUAUACAUGAAAGUGUUCAUUCAUAUGUUCACUUUUCAGGAUUAUAGUUCUCUGUUUCAUCUUUAAGAAUUAAAUCGUGUACUACUCCCUCUU